rnacentral:sRNA from 1 species
GUCAGUGCUCUUAACCCCUGAGCCAUUUCAUCAGCCCGACUUUUUUUAAAGGUUGUUGUAGACCACAAAGCACAUGACUACAUCAUCCUUCCAGAUAUCCUGCUUGGCAACUCGACUUUCAUAUUUAGCUGAAGGAAGCUUUUCUCUUUUUCUCUUCUGGAUUCCUACCAACCACAGGAUACGCGAGCAUUUAAGAUAGAGCGGAAGGUGUAAACAGUAAUUCCGCAUUUUUUCAUAAUAAAAGAUAGUUAGCCUUUUACUUACUGUUCACCAGCAUGUAAUAAAGGGAGAUGUGUGCGUGCAUACCUCUCUGCAGAGGAAAUGCAAAACAAUAACGGAUUUCAACCUACAAAUUAUUAAAAACUUGGGCGAGAGAAGUUAAAAUUAUUUUUAUAUGGGAACAGACUUUAUUGCAAAAUCAUUGGCAUUUCAUUUCCUUGCAGAGCUGUGUUUCCUUCUAAUUAAAGCAGAGGAGAGGAACUAGACUGCUUCCCGCUUACUCAAUAUAUGGACGUCUUGCUGCUCCUGUGGCUUUGUCUAACACAAGUGGACAGAGGCGGCGACAGCUGACUUAAUCUUAUGCCCCAUAAUUUUAGGGUGAUAAGGAAUGUUUUUUUCUGAAACUGGUAUUAUGUUAACCCUCCAUAGUCACCUUUUCCAUUCGUAGUUAUCUACCUCCCAUUAAUUGUGUCUUAGAGGAGAAUCAUUAUUUUACCAGUAGAGAAAGUGUAGACUCCAGCCUUGGUCUGUCCUAAGCAGCUGAACUCUUGUACAGGAAGAACAAAGGAUUUUGAAUCAACAGUUUGUUUUCAGAUCCCUACAAGCUAGAUACUGCCUGUGUGACCGUGUCAUUUAGAAACCCCUUAUGUCUCUAAAGGAGCCCUCCCAGGGUAAUUUUUUCCCUGCAUAUGUAUGUACAUGUACAUGCAUGUAUAUACACAUGUGAGUGCUCACAGGGGCAAUAUCCAGAUGUCAAAAAGGUGGGAAUGUCCAUCUUUACUAGGGACAAGGUAAAGAGAGGGGUUGUUUCCAAAGACGCAAGGCAGAAUAGAUAAAUCUAGACGUCUAGCAUUCUCCGCCAUGUUGACCUUAGGCAAUUUCAUCUCAUUGUACUCCUGCUUUCUUGUCUCAAAAAAUGGUCAUGAAAAUACGUUCUAAUUCAGGAUGCUUUGUUUGUGGUUAUCAUUGGAGUGAUUGCAUCAAAUGCAUUUAGCCCAAUGCUCGGCAUAUAAGAAGUGAGCAAUAAAUGUUAAUUAUUCUUAUUUCUUCCCAUGUCCUCAGUAGCUCUAGGUUAACGUUGUGUAGACCCUUAAAACACGAAGCACUCCGCUACAUUACAGUUCCUUAUUUAUUUCCUCUCUCUACAUUUGCCUGCUCCUAAAGGGGCUGGAGGGGGGAGGGGACCCUCCGCAUGGUCUUGUAGUACACGCUUAUUACAUCUCUGAACCUGAUGCUCACUGAAUACAAUUCCUCCCAGGAUGGCCCAUGACGUCCUCCGUCCUGUGCCUCUUUGUAUGUUCACUAUUUAAGCACAAGCUGCCUCCCUCUCUUGCCUCCACAAGUCUUCACUAUGUACCAGCUGAUACCCAACCUUCCUACGGCAAUUCCUGCCUUGCUACCAUCUCGCUAUGGUAUUAAAACCUUUAUCUUAAUGAAGCCACGUUUCUAGCCCCCAGAGCCCACAUUUCUGUGCACUUUUAACCUCACCUAAAACUCACUAUUCUCCAAGUAAGGUCUUGUGGCUCUAGUUUUAUCCUUAGGGUACAUUUUUAUGAAUUUUCCAGUUGAAACAGAAACAAUGGAGGGCCGAUGGUUUUCUGCCUACAAUUUGUAGUGUUUGGUUGUGAAUUUCUAAACACUUCUUAUGAUUUUGUUUCUGAGACCUAUCAGUAGGUAAACCAGCACUCUCUCAUAGCUGAGUGCAUGUGUAAAUAUGAAGGAAUGAAGGGACAAAGGAUUCUCAAGGAGAAGACACGGGUGAAGGGGAGUCAACCUUCGGAUGGAUCUGUGGGUUUAAGUGGUUCUCAGGAAAUAGGUUGAGAGCCAGAAAUAAGUUAUUUUUACUGUGCAAGACAGUAACAUUGCUUCGGGUACUUUAAUGUGAAUGUUGUGAAUGCAUUCUGGUUUCAUAUAAAGAAGAGAGAAGGUUGGCUUCUCUCUCUUUCUCUCUCUCUCUCUCUCUCUCUCUCUCUCUCUCUCUGUGUGUGUGUGUGUGUGUGUGUGUGUGUGUGUGUGUGUGUUGUAUAAUGGGCUGUGUAAUAUGAUUUCAGAGCCCUCUGAUGCAGUAUUUUGAAACUAAGUUGGUCAUACAAUUAAAACAUAUCUUUGGUCAUAGAUUGCUUGGCCUUAUGCCAUCUUCACAGGCAAUGUCCUACUUACAUAGCCUGGAUUGGCUGAGAAAAAUAAUUGCUGCUAUGAAAUAAUUUUGCAAUUACCACUGUAAUUAAGGGCAGUUUGUUAAUGAAAGUGCUUGGUGAAUAAUGACUGCAGGGCACUCCAUCUUGCAGCUUCAUGCCAGAUGAUUGGUUGGUGUGGUGGCGGCAGUUAGGGAAUCAGUGACACAGCUGUCAUGGUUACAGGAUGGAUGUAAAUACCCUUUGCAGUUGAUGAUGAAGAACAGUCAUUAGCCUCCUGCCCCUUGGGAACCGGUCAGAAGAACAAAAAUAAACUUAACACAUGACGGUGAAAGCCAUCCUUAUGUCUCCUUUUCUUCCGUAUGAACAAUUAACAUUCUAAUAGAAAGCGCCGGGAGCACAGGGACGAGCCCUCUCCACUUUUUAAGCAUGUUAAGGUGAUAGAUCCUCCUCCUCGUAGGGCAUUGUUUGCUCACAGUUUAUAACCGCUCUUAUUAGCUUAUAGGCUAGAUUUCAACUGCUCUUUAGAGACCCACGGGCCCCACUGAAAUUUUUCUUGUUCAUCCCCAGGUGUAGUGUAUUUCUUUCCACCACUCAAAGAGCGCCCGUUGGAGGAGUUUUGGCAUGCCAUCCUCAUGGCUUCAGGGGCAAUGGAAGAUCAAUGUUCUGUGUUUGGGCUUACCUACCUGUAUAAUCUCGACUGACUGAGGAAAUGCUGGCUGGCUGCUGAUCCCACUUUACUCUAGAGUGGAAAAAAAAUCAUUGUUGGAGGUUGAGGGUCCCCCACACCCUCUCCUUAAGUCAGGUGUUUAAGUGCACACGGCAUUUAUGUUCAUGCCACCUCCUUGGUGUUGUUUUUCAUUGUAAAUUUGCUUAAGCAGUCUUUUGUGGAGCAAUUUCAUAACGUGCACACACUGUGGUUUUAUACUGAGUUGUUCGUGAGCUGCAACUCAUUAACUUCUGCUGACUAGUAAGUCACCAGAGCAUGUUGUAGUCCUUCGACUUUGUCUUGUCACACAGUCCUUUUUACUCUCUGUUAGAAGUCCUACUAGGGCUAGAGGAUUGCCUCCCUCGAUAAGAAGCUUCACAGCCAGGAGGAACUGAGUUCAAAUCAGUAGAACACAUGAAAGAAGCUAAGCAUGGUGACCUGUAAUCAAGGAUUGUGGGGGACCACAGGAGGGGCCCAGAGGCCUAUUAGCCACCAGCCUAGCUCUAGAUUCAGUGAGAAACCUUGUCUCAAGGGAAUAUAUCCAAGAAUGAUAUAACGGGACACCCUAACUCGUGCUCUGCCUUCCUCGGUGCUCACACUGGCACAAGCAUGGAUGUCGUACCAUGCGUCACCCCACCUCCAGGAAGUAAAGUGGACCUGGCAGUUAGAGAAAAGAGGCUAGCAACUCUCUGCCAAGGAGCGGAAGCACAGCUUCGCGUGUCUCUGCCCUAGAGAAAGCUGUGCUGUUCUGUAAGGGAAGGAGUGGGGUCCCCUCACUAAGGGAACAGAACCAUCACAAAAUGACUAGCACAGGUUAAGGGUGAACUUGCUCCUUACUGCUUCUGCCGGGCAUGAGUCCUUGUGUAGUGAGUGACACUCAGUGUCUCUGUAUCCUCUUGACUUUGGCAAGAACCAACGCUAAGCAAGGGGUGGGGAUUGUGACCCUUAAGCAGUCAGAGAGGGAUUAGAGAGCACCAACAGGCUGCAGUGCCCUGGGAGAUUUGUCCUGCUGCUCACAGGGGUCCUUUCCCACAGAGUCACUCACUCAAAAUGCACUCUCUGUCUCAUUGACAUAGAUGAGUCACUGUGCCAUCUGACCGUGUUGGACACAAGUCAGUGCACUUGUCCUUAAAAGGCACACGGUGUAGCAAACCUUCCAUAAUAAACAUUAAAUCUAGUUUCUUAUCCAAAUAAAAGGCACUUUCUACUUCAAACACGGAAACCAUAUCAGGCAUGACCAUGGUUGGUGAAUUAAUAUGGGUUCUGGAGAACAUUAUUUUUCAGGGACUUCCGAGAAUGCCUGGGUUCCAGAAAAGCCUGGGUCCCUGCAGUGGCUUCACAGUAAAGCUGCAAAGGUAAUUGGGAAGGGGUGUGUGUGUGUGUGUGUGUGUAUGUGUGUGUGUGUGUGUGUGUGUGUGUUCAGAAGUAUGGACUUUUGUGGUAGGUCAAAACUUCCAAUAGAAAAUAAAAAUAUCUUUGUAUUUUUGAUUGGUGCUGUCCAGGUAGAGGGCACAGGAACUACAUCCCCCUUCAGCAGGGAUGGGACAACUGCAACAUUUACAUAGUCUGUUCUCAUUCCUGUCUUGUUUGGUGGCCUUUUGAUUUACUUAUUUAUUUUUUAAGUAGCAUGUGAGAUUUGCAUUUGAAGUUCCACAGCAUCUACAGGUGCCAUGACACUGUGGAGGUGGGCAAAUGCUCUCAGACGGCGGGCAGGCAGGCAGCCAUGGAGAUUCUUAAGCAGAAUCCUCAUGCACUGUCCUCAGGAUGUGUGAAGACCUGAGCCGGAGCAUAGCUUCCACCCAGGACCGCCCUCGUCUGGCUUCCCUCAUUUUCUCAGAACAAAUCAAGGACUUUUGGUAGUUCUCCAGGACAUAAAUGCAUCGUGUCCCAUUCGGUCCUAUUGUGGUCCUAUCUGUCACAGCAACACUAAUUAUAAAAAUUGAACGUAAAUUUGUGCUGUUUAAUAGGUUUGGGUUUAAUUUUGCCUCAGUGGGAAGACAUUUGAUUAAAAGAGUCUUUUCCCCUCCUCCUUCCUCCUUUUUUCUUUCCGUAGAACAGUUAGUAAAGGCGUAGGAAAUUGAUUUCAGUGUCACAAAGGACAUUUCUGACAGGAAUGUACUUUGAAAUGAUUCAAGGCAUCUGUUUCUCUCAAAUAUGCCCAACACUGCUGAGAGCUGUACCUAAAUUAAACUGUUUAACGUGUCAGCUCAGAAUCCGAUCACAAUUUACAUCCCAGUAGCUUGGCUGGAAUUUCCAACAUUUCAUGAACUCCCUCUCCUAAUUUACUAAACAAGUUCUUGCUCAAAGUGACCAUUUGUUCUAGAUGCCAAUAUGUCACGGUUGGAAUUGAUUGAGCUUUGGAAGCUAUUUGCUUGGGUAUGGUCACUUUGCCUAUGAGAUGGAAUCAUCUCUCUGGCGUUUUUUCUCCAGGCACGUCUUGUGAGUGACGGCCUGGUGGGCGUUUUCGGCUGUCUGUCUUUCACCGCUGCAGUGUCUGUCAGGCUAGCGGGCUCCGGGAGCUCCUGUUAUAAGUGUUUCUGAGCCCAGCAAUGACGUGCACUCUGUUUAUGACUGUCUGUGGCACCCAGCAUAGUACCUGGGAGCCACUUAAAGUAAAUUUCUCAUAAAUGAGCAGGGAACGAACACUUCCACACGCCCAUGCGUGUAACCCUGGUGUAGACGGCACUGGGAGGGAUCAUUUGCCUGCCUUGCUGUGUUUCUUAGAAAUCAGCACUGUUCACUUCUAUUAAUUACACCGAGGCAUGUCCUUUGAAGUUGGAGGGCUGGGGCAAUUAUUUUGUGUGUGAGAGAACUUUUUAUAUUCAUAGUAGAAAUAAUUCCCUGGGGAUAAGAAGAAAAAGUGUCUAUGCUGAGAUAUAAUAAGAAGGAACCUGAGCUCAUUAAGGUAAUUAUUUAGUGGUUCUUUACCCUUCUUCUCCCCUCCAGUGUCCACCCACGUAAUCCUCACACACAAUUUACCAGGCAGUGGAGAGUGAAGAACCCAAGGGAAGACUCAUUCUGUUGCCCUGCCUGUGUUUAUAAGUCUGUCGUCUACUGAGAUGGUGUUGGUGUUUGUAUGGCGCUACCCUGGAAGACUCUUGCCCUAGAGGGGUCAUGUAGUUGACUUCCCUGAUUAGCUGGCCACUGGUGACAGGCUGCAGAGAGGACUAUCCCUGGCACCGUGGUCUCUAUGUAUAGUUAGCCUAGCCUGAGUGUUCCACAUAUCUGGGUACCUCAGUGACACCCAGCCAUUUAAUACUCAAAGCUUCCAGAGGCCAGGCCAUCUUGUGUGCUAGCUUGUGGAGCCAUUUUGGCCACACUCUUUCAGCUUCCUGGAAGGAGAAAAGGAAAGAUAGAAGGGAAACCUCCUCCUUUAGCCACCAUGCUCAGGAAGGCAUCUGGCCCUCCUGCUCUCAUGGGAAGGAGCUUAGUCCCCUGUCUAGUCUUAUGCAAGGAAGGCUGGGAAAGGACAAAGGAACUUGACAGAUCCUCCCUGCAACUGUGCUUGCAUGGAAGCAGAGUUGGAGUUGCUGAAGUGUCUCGAACCUUAGGCUUUCCUAACCAAUUUGCCGCCGGCCAUCUUUGUUUUGUAAGUUUCACAGUUACUGUGAGACUGUAUCCAGUAGCCAGUGCUGCCAGUGCUAACCAUCGCUGCUUUGGUCUUUUGAGCCGAAAGUGUUCGCAGAGAUGAUUGUAGAAAUGGACAGCUUAGCUCACCUUCUUCCAGUUAACUGCAAGGAAUGGGUACACAUCUUUUUUUCACUUUGUAAUUGCUGGUACAUCUGUCAGGCAGAUGCUUACUGUCGUCCAUUUGAAUAUUUCAUCUCCUACUUUUGUAUUGGGAAGCAUGCUAGAGUAGGGAAGAUGGUUGUGAUUUCUUUGAGUUUUUGUCUUGUUUGUAUUUUUUUGGUUUGUGGUUGUUUGUUUUGGGGGGGUUGUUGUUCUUUUGUUUUUGGCUGGUUUUUGUUUGUUUGGUUUUCCAUUUGAGAAGAUAUUACUUGUACUGCUGGUAUGUCAGUUAUUAUACAGGAAGACCCAGAAGACUUAAUUACUAUGGCCUGCAAAUACUCUCACAUAGCAUAUACAGGCGGCCACUGACUAAUGCAAAAAUCAGGUUUCCAUUCGAGAUCUUUCUUCACCAACAGUUCCUGCGGUGACAUCAAAGAUUGUCACAGUGUUAUUGCCUUCUGCAUUUCUACUGUCUUUCCUCUAAGGAGCUCAAAAUCACCAGCAGCAUAGUUCCCUCUUCCUUGAUUAGAUUUCUGAAGUUGUAUCUGAUAUUUUGAAUGCACUGCAUAGUGGAAUCCUAUUCCCCGCCUUUCCUAGAUGCUGUAGGAUGAAAUAUGUCCAGACCUCUGGAACCUGGAUGCCUGCACUUAGAUGGCUUUAGUCUCUUCUGCUACUCUCUCACAAACAAAGGAUUAUCAGAGUUCUUGCUGGGCAAUAAAAAUGUCAUUUUAAGGUAGGAUUUAGACAGUAUCGGCAUCCGACUGUCUAAAUAUGAGCAAACUCUUAACUUUAGUUUAGAACUAAAAUCUCCUUGAGUUUUCUUACACUUUUGGCAGGGGAGGGACCAGAAGUGAAAGUCGAGUGUGUGCCGAGCUCAGUGCAUGCCGUCCGGUCUGUGUUCUAGAUAAUCUGACCCCAACACAGCUUGUCGAGUCAGUGCUGUCACUGCAUAAAGAGUAGUUCUAAGGGUUUCCUGAGACUGAGUCAUCUUACGCUCAUAAGUCAGCUGCUCAGUACCGAUUGUACAUUUUAGCCACGUGUUUAUAGAAUGCCUUGUCCUCCUGCACGCAGGGUCAAACCACUUGCUAAAGGUGAUAGGAGCAAGCACGCCUUGUAGUGUUAUUAAUCUGUUUUCAGUGUCUUGCAAAUAAGCAUGAUGUCUAUGGCACAGGAAAUCGAGUCAUCCAAAAGUAGAAAUUCAAAGUGGCCUUGAGGCGGGAGGCAGAGCAUUGCUUUUCUGAUGGUGGACCACAUCUCACACAACUCCAGCAUCUCAUAUGGCUGUCACCACACUGCCCAGGCGCUUUAUAUCGUGUUCCUCUUUCUGCUUUCCACACCUCACUGGGAGCUUCUUGCAGGAAGAGAAUAUGUUCUAUUCACGCUGGGACAUUCGAUCAAUAUGUGGUUGGUAAACAAUUAGUAGUUGAUGAAUAAAUACCUUAAGGGAGCAAAACCUUAUUCCUCCCUCGAGGUUAAAGCUAAAGAUUCCCGACUUUGGACAAGCUGGCAGUUUUGUUUUCUUUGUGCAGAGAAUCUUUUCAUUACUCUUCUCUUCUAUUUUAUUAUGUGAUCUGGAUUUUAAAAUGGAAUAAAAGGAAGUAUACAUUAUGUAUGUUGGGUUAAAGUGCUAAAAUUGUUUCACUCACCUAGUUCUAAAGCCAGCAUAUAAUCCAGCUAUUCCACUCCUGGGUUUAUUUCCAAAGGACGUUAAAUUAUUGUUUCAGAGGUAUGUUUACAUGUUUACAUGACAGUAACUCUUCUCAGGGGCCAAGAUACUGAGGAUCAGCAAGACACCCAUGCAUGGAUGGAUGGAUAAAGAAAGCGAGAUGUAUUUAUUCCACUACAAAAAAGAUUAACCCUUCCGUCUGCAGUACCAUGGACAGGGUUGGAGGGCAUUGUGUUAAGUGAAGAAAGCCAGGCUGCAGAGUCCAACUCAUAUUAAAGGCGAAAUCUAGAGGCUAGAAGAGUAAGGGCAUGAACUCCAUAGGGCCUGAGAGGUGGGUACCAGAAUAUAGAUGGCUAGGAGGAGUGAGUUCUUGCAUCCCCCUGCAAGGUAGAGUGGUUUAUAGCAGUUCUUGUGUAGUUUAAGGAACUGGAAGAGAAGCGUUCUGAGGUUCUUGGCACAAAGAAUUAUUUGAUCAUUCCUUUACAUAUUCACUGCCCAAUAAUGCUGCACCAUGCCAAUUAAGGUUUUCUUCUCUCCGUAAGUAAAGAGAAUUCUCUUAUGUAAGAUUCCUGGGCUCCCAGGCAAGGUCCUACCCCACUAUAAGCUGGUGACUGUGGUCAAAUAGUGGGACUUAGCCUGUGGCCUCUUGUGAGUUCCAAAUGAGAUCCUUGGUAUGAAGGACUUGACCGAUCCAAGGUCAGCCAUGAAGAUAACAAUGAUCUCUGUGGAUUGUUUCUUUCCCUGGGGGUCAGCCAUGUCCAUUCAAUCUUGUACUCUCAAGAAGGCCCUCUGUCACUGUGAUGAGAACCCCAGGAAGUGCAGGCACAGUUCUGCAUAGUCACAGAAAAUAGGAGUCUGUGUGGUGGUCCUUCUCCCUACUUUGUAGGGAUGUUAGGUCAUGGAUUAGUCAAACCGUGUAGAGUAGCAGUUGUUUGUUUCCCAGUAUACAGUUCGUGUAACCAAUAGAAUCCUCUGCUAUCAGAUGGUUCUGAAAGCUGCUCACAGCAUUGUGAAGUGCUAAGGCUCUGCAGACGUGUGUGUCUCCUGCAAACAUUUCUCUCCUCCUUUCCUCCAUUUAAAAAUGUGUGUUUCUAGGUCAGAAGCUGAAUGUAUCCAAGACCAUCUCCCUACCCCCAGCCUUUUAUGAAAGGACUGUUUCUUAUUCUUUCUAGGAUCUAGUGAUGGAGUUUAGCAGUGCCUCACUGAUCUGGGGGCUAUGUAUUAGAUAACCUCAGCAAUGUAUGCAUACGUACGCGCACGCGUGCGCACACACACACACACACACACACACACAUGUAGCCACAUUCAGUUUAAGAGGGCUAGACCUAUAUGAUUUGGGAAUAUUUUUAAUAUAAUUUAAGUGAAGAUUUGUUUUUCUAUACUAUCUGAUUCCAUAUAAAUAGAGAAUUUCCUUUUUUUUUUUUUUUUUUUAGUUAUGAACUUUCUUGGGCCUUGUACCUUCUUUGUAUUUUUCAGUACCCUUUAUUUUUGUGCCUGUCUCCAGUGUACAAAAAUGACUCACUUCUACCUCAUUUUUACCUUUGAAGACCUUAAACUUGUAUUUUAGAGAGUAGAGAAAAUUUGACGGUAUCAAAUAUAGAAUUUAUCUAAGUUUGUGUCCUUAAUUUUCAGCAUGUUACCUCAAAUUAACUCUUUGCCCACAUAAUACUACUAAUCACCACCACCAAGAGCAAACACAUCAACAUGCACAACAAUAAGUCUUUGCUCACAGGUGACACACCUGCUUACAGUGGGGAAGGAGCUCACCGGGAGGCCCACGCUUCUCACACAAGAGAAUAAAUACCCUCUUCUUGGUGGGGGGCAUAUUUGACAUUGUGCUCUUGUACUGAUAUAGUUUUGAAACAAAAUUAUCUGUAGAUUGACCUGAGAGCGUGUUGAGGAGUCACGCCACACCAUGUGACUAACAGCUCUCACACACUGCUCUCCUCCUGUCUCCAGGGAAAAUGCUCUUUUCAUCCCCAUUUACAGGAGAAGGCAUGGAGCGUCAGGAAGUUUGAGUGCUUGCUCAAGGUACUCCGCCAGAGGGUAGAUCCAGAGUGCACGUCUCACCUCACCGAGCCAUGGAUGCUGCUAAGUCUAUUCUGGUCCAUGGGUCUCUCAGGUGUUCAGUCCUCAGAAGAGCCGAGCGCUGGUUAGUCACGGUGGCACAUGUACAGGAGGGCUCAGACAGGCCUUGAGCUGUGUGAGGGACCUUGUCGCCACCCGGCCACCCACUGGAGAUUUGUGUUUCAUAAAUGAUAAAAAGUCAAACUUAAAAAACAAGGACUGGUUGACAAACGAUCCGUCUAGCUAAAACCCAAAAGCUUAAGGAACAAACUUUCUCAAAGCACCGAAAUUUCAUGAUGUCUUUCCCCCUUCAUCUUCUCUUUUAUUUUCCUUUUCACGUUGACAGAAUUCUCGGUUGUGUUGAAUUGAAAAAGCCCAUUGGGUUGAAGCCAAUCUGUAUGUUUAAAAUUAUGCACUGCCAAGUCCUCCUCUGGUGCUCCUUUAAAAAAAAAAAAAAAACUUUGUUUUUAAGAAGGUUGACAACUUUAAAAGAAACGGCACAUUCCUUUAACCCCUAGAACAUUUUAUUUAAAUUUAGUCACUGGUUUGGAGAACAAAUAAACAGAACCUUCACUUAAAUGUUCCCAUGUCUUUAGAAUGAAUGGGUAGUGAUAUGAUUUAUAGCUAGUUGGAAGAAAAAAUAAAGAAGAUAAAAGAGAAUUGAAACCCCAAAUUACUGGUUUCUGCAGCGCAUUUCUGAUCUAAUUCUCAAUUGUGAGUACAGUGUAUGCCUUGCUUAAUGCUUCUUGCCGGGUCACGGAAGCAAAUCUCUGCCUUUUAUGUAACAUGCAGCUUAAUUGAAUGCUUAUCGGCUCUAUAGCAGUCUGAAGUGGAGAGGAGAGAUCACCAUCUAUAUUCAUGGCCAGCAGCGUCUUGGUAAAUAUUUCCUAAUUGACUAAAUAGAGGAAUGAAUGAAUGAAUUUUAUUCGGAAAUGUACAGGAUAACACAGUUGUAUUUGUAUUCUGUGUAAUCAGUGAGUGUUUGCUGGUACCAUUAACGACUGUGUUUCUUGCUAUAGGAAACUUAGCACAGUGAGAGACACAGCAGAAGGCUUUGUGGGAGAAUUCCUUCUCGUUCUACUGUUGUCCACGAGAGCUCACUGAAUCAGCUUGCUUCUCAGUGCUUAGUAGUGUAUUUAGUGAGUCAACAGGCAGGUUUAGAAUGAGCUUGUGGUUCUAGUUUCCAGAUCUAGGAAGCAGUGUCGUUACCUCACCUCUCAUGCCAGCCACAGGCUUCUCAAAAGGCACCUGGAGAACACAGAAGUGGAUGUCUUCAAUUGACUCUAGAAUACCUCACACCUGCAUAUUAAUAUUAAACCUUUGGCCGUGGCAUUUAUUUAUUUGGCCAUAUUCCAUAAAGAAGGCAAAAAAA